CUACUUUGCAGAGUAGGUAUUACAAUGGUAAAAACCUUCCCUUCAUGGCUUCAGUUGAAGUAUAUAAAUGUGACUCUUCAAUCCUGAAUCACCAAUUCGCUAGCGUAGUCUACAACAACUUCAGUCUGCAGAGGCUAAAUUCCACUUCGUAGAGCAUAACGUUUUCCCCAUUCAUGUGUAAUAAACUCAUCUUAUACUUGGUGUUCUAUUCAUAAUUCUAUAAAAUAAGUAUCUGAUUGCUUGCAAUUUGUGUUUAUUGUCAUCCAAUUCCUCGACAAUGACAGUGUACAAGAAAGUCCUAUUUUCGUCAGCAAAAUUAAUUCUUUGAUUCAACGUUCUUUCUUCUCUUUUGCCUGUAAAUAACUCCAGUAGAAGCAUUCCAAAAUUGGAAACAUCAUCAAGCCUGGAAACCUCACCGCCUGAAAAGUACUUUGCAAAUCAUAUAAACCAAUUUUAAGUAACAUUUUUCUAUGUAAUUAGGGCAUUAGAAAAUGUUAGUUGAAGCUAUA
rnacentral:lncRNA from 1 species